UAAUAAUAAUAAUAAUAAUAAUAAUAAUAAUAAUAAUAAUAAUAAUAAUAAUAAUAAUAAUAAUAAUAAUAAUAAUAAUAAUAAUAAUAAUAAUAAUAAUAAUAAUAAUAAUAAGGAAACAAUUGAGAAAAGUCACCACUCCAGAAGCCCAGCGGAAGUCUGAAGAUAGAAUAAUAAUAGAAAAAGAAAUCAUCAUCACUAAUAACAAUGAUAAAAUAAUGAAAAAGGAUUUUAAAACUCGGAUAAACAAAGGAGCACCACUGAAGCCCAGCCGGGGAACCCUGGAAUUACCACAUUUUUACUCAUACGUACGAAUAUAGUGUAUAGCAACAACGAAUUUCACCGUGGACACACCGGUGGGAGUUGGGAAUGAUAAUGUGGCGCUGGGAUACCUCGUGGCAAAAAUAUGCGUUACUCUAACUGGGCCAUAUUUAAUUUUAAAAUACCUGUUGCAUCCUAUUUUCGCAGCAUUUUAAUUCCGCAUAAUAAAACUGAAGCCACAAAGCUUGCACGAAAUUGUCUGUACUACUCCAUUCGCAUAAUUGACCUAAAACCAACUGUCAAUAGCCAAUUAUUAGCCAGAUGAUUAUUAUAUUAAGGUGCAGAACAUUUUUUUUUUUUUUAAGCUGGUGUGAAUUUAUUUUGUCCCGUGGAGUUAACAGUAUAGAGUAAACUUUCUUAUCCGAAUAAGACUCUUUCGGAUUUUAGACAAAAUGUUUUCCCCUACCAGAUAACGUCUUUCGACACAUUGGAUCCCAAUACUUGAGUCGCGAAAGGUUUGCAAGAUAGAAAAGUGAGGUUCAUAGAGGUCUAGUGUCGUUACUUUUUACCAGCCUGUAAGUAUAGUUGAGUGAAAAGGGAAAGAGAAUAAUGAAAUUGGUGAUAAGCCGAGGUAAAACUGUCCCUACUAAAAAUGACCGUAUCUUAAAUCAUAUAAUCUUGUGACCGAAAUCAGCGUGUAAUUUAUUACAUGAUUUAUCUUGUAGAUUCGAGAAAAAUGUAUGAAAAAUCACGAAUCGACAGAUAUACUAGAUCAAAAAUCAUAUAGAGUUGAGUACGUUUGAUGAUUCGUACUUUUGUAAUUUAUUGCGUGAUUUUUUAUUCAUUUUUCUCGAAUUUACAAGACAAAUCAUGUAAUAAAUUACACGUUGAUUCCGAUCAUAACAUCUUCUGAUCUAGUACUUGAACAUUUUCGAUAGGGAUGUGUAACAAUACACGAAGGAGGAUCGUGCAAGCUGAUUUUUUUUUUUUUUCAAUUCAGCAAGGCUGGAAAAAGAUGGACAAACAAAAAAAAAUUAUAAAACGCAAUUGGACUGAUUGUGAAUUAUUAUAUACUCGCUGGAUUUUUGUCCAGAUACGUCAACGCUGAUGUAUAAUGUAAAUGUACACGUUAAAAAAUAUCUUUAUACUUACGCGUCUACUAUAAUUGUACCGUCGGCUGUGCUCCCGCGGAAACCGCAACUGCAUUUUUUUACCUACGUCUUAAAAUUACUAGCUCCGGUCUAACCGAAAGUUUGGUAAAUUCAACAAUUUCUACAUUUCGCUGCAUAGCUCGUAUAUGUAUGUAUUUCGGACUGAUUCUAAUAAACAUAAACUUAUCGUAACCUAGGUGUAUGCGAGUAGGUGAACUAGCGUAAAUGUUACUCCUAGAUCUGAUAUUGUAUCACACAUUUAAUAUGAUAGAAAGAGAAAAAGAAAAAAAAUUAUACGUACUUCGAUUGUAAAUGCGUUUCGUGUUCUUCAGUAUUUCUUAAUCAACAUAUUUGUAUAUUUACCUUCAGAAACUGGAUAUUGGACGUCCAGUAACGCCUCGACUGGUUUAUUUUUAGUCAUGUGUAUAUAUUUUUUUAAAUACCAUAUAUUCUGAACGUUACUAGACUUCCCGCGUUACCUGGCCAUAGAUAUAUACACCAAACGAUACACAUAUAUAUUUAAAGUGACUACGUAUCGGAGAAAUUAUCUGAACGCGACAAAAUAUCUAAAUAAAUUAUUAGUCUUAGUAAAAAAUUGAAUAGGUACUUUAUUAAAUAGAUGUUUUAGUUUUUCUGCUUGGCCAUGAAUUAUUUCUGUCAAAUUUGUGCGUACAGAACCGUGAAAAUAAUAUUACACACGGAUUAUCGUGAAUCUCAUCUUUUGACAUCGCAUUUUUACCCACACCUGAAGUAGAAGGCUUUUCUAUUAUUUCACAAUGAAACAGCAAACAGUUUCGUUCGUAAUUCGCAUAGCAUUAUAACCUAAACAUGUAGAUUGUCGUGCAUACAUAUAUAUGUAAUAAUAUGUAUAUACAUGUAUACACGCGCACCUAUAUAUAUAUGUAUACAUAAAUAUAUAUGCAUAUUCAUCGUUUAAUGCUUAGAAAAUUUGUUGUUGAUACAAGAACUGAUGAUACUUGUGAGACUGUGCGGGCGCCUUAUAUAUUGAGAAAAUUAAUUAAAAUCGAAAACGAUACAAAGAUAAAAAAAAAAAAAACUAAAAAAAAAAAAGAAAACCACAUACAUACCUGUAAUAUGAUAUGGGUAAAAAAGAAACAUAAAAGAAUAUGUGAAUAGGUAAAAUUUUUGAUUCCGCGAAUUGAAUUAGUACAUUGUGUGUUAAGGGCGAAAUGAAGGCGAUCACACGCGAGUGAAAUCCCUUUUCCGCCCGCGAUGCUCGCGAUUUUUUUUUGUUCUAGUCCCUGUGAAAAUACGCCUUCCACGCAAAGUUACACCCAAAAUGAAAAUUGUAAUUUUACGCCCGCUACACAAAACGCGAGAAAGCGUUUUUAUUCAUGGGGGGUUGGACGAAGAAAAAAAUUUAGUAUCGAACUGGAUUUCGCGGGACGCAUGGCCAACGCACCUACGUUACGUGAAUACUUUCUUGUGAUAAUCUAAAAUUUUGACUGAGCUGCAUUAUUAUCUAAUUGUAAGCCUGCAGCUGAUCCGCGAUAUUUCUUUAUCUUUUCGUUGUUCUGUAUACCGAUUAAUUAUUAUUAUCCGUCGCUCAGUUUUUCAGUCAUUGAGUGCAAUUCAAGUGAAAUAUACAAAAUAUAUGAUACAAAAUAUCGGAACAACCAGGCGCAGUGUUGAAACUUGAAGAUUAUAAUUAAAGAUUGAAGUAUGGUAAAGCCGACGUCUUGUCGAGCACUUCAUUGGUUUGGGAAUUCGAUGAGCUUUACCUACGUUCUUUUUCCACACAUCUUCACUAAACGCUUUCACGAUAUAACGCAUCGAUAAUAAUUGUCAAGUCUAUCGUAGCAACCAUGUGCUUUUCAAAUCAUUUAAAUUAUUUUUCAAACAUUUCUUCAGAUCCUGCAAUAUUCGUAAUAAUUUUUUGUAGGCAUUUGAAAAUCCGUAAAUCUCUUAUUCCUCAUUUGAACAGGAUAUUUUACGCUUACAAGGAAAAAAGUAAUGAAAUUAAACGAAAUUUUACGCUAUAAGGAUCAUGUGGAUCUAAAAGAAUGUUCGAUCGAAAAUUGUGUAACUUAAUUCUACUAAGUCGCUAAUAAGCACUUUAUACCUGGAAAUAUUUCGAAUUAAACGAAAGAAAUAGAACGUUCCGUUCUCACCUAUAAUGUAUCGCGAAAAAGUUUAUCACGACGAUUUACUAAUUCGCAAAAAUUUCGAACCCCCCGGAAUAAAUUUCUCAUCAAGAGUGUACCAUGGGCACCAUGAGAUGAAUCUCCUGGCAAGCAAGUGAAUUAUUCGACGUCUAUUAUCAAGAAUGAAAAUACAAAUUUGAAACUCGACUCGAUCGUAAAUUAAACCUGUGAACUUACUUAAAAUUGCGAAAGCAAAUUUCGUGGGUGAAAUAUCUGAUAUGUAACUAAUUUGGCAUUGGUACAAAAUCAACAUUGCCGCCAUUCCCGAUUUUAGAAUUUCAAUUCGGUUGUUCAAUAAUUACGAGCAUUCACUAGCUUUCAAAAGCUUCUAAUUGUAAAACGGCAUCUAAAAUAUUGAGCACGGUGAACAUCCAUCGUCAAUGAUUAAGACUGAAAACACGCAAAUGAACUUGCAAAAUUGCCUAUAGUUCACUCUUAAUGUACACACCAAGCGCAUGAAGUAAUUCACCAAGCUGUAUAAUCCCGAGUGCAAUUUGACCAGUGUAAAAAUUAUUUUGUUAACGUCUCUUCUUUCUGUUUGUUUUCUUUUUUUAUUUUUUAUUAAUUUUCUUCUUACCACGACUACGAACUUAUUAUCUAACUAAAAACUAUCAUAAUUCAUGUGGAUCGAUUAAUUUCACCUAAAGUACAUGAUAUAAUGUAUAAUACUGUAUGAAAUGUUUAUAUGGAAUUUCCAUGAGCAGGGUAUCACAUAUACUGUUAGUACAAACGAAAUAAAUAAAAUACAUCUGAAUGAUUGAAAAAUUGAAUCGUGAAGAUUUUUGUAAAAUCAUUUUAAACACGGAGCUUGAGAUAUUAGUAUGGUAUUAUUAUAAUGAAACGGAUUCUGCUUUCCAUUAUGACACUUUUGUUUUAUAGCAGGAUAUUGUACGGAUAAAUAGAUCAAUCAAUGACGCACGUUCGGCGUAUACUUUCGCAAUCAUUGGAAUAAAUAGCGUAAGGUUGGGAUACGGACGGAAUAUCGAGAAAUUUUCAAUUAAUACUCAAGUACUUGAAAUUACAUUUUCAAAUAAUAUUUCCGAAGGCGAGAAUUAGCAGUCAAACCACGCGGCAACAUCAAUUAGUCGAUGUCUCGCCGAUAUUUUCCUACGAGUGACAAUUAGCCUGACUUGAAAAUAAAUCGGGUCAACCUUUUCUUCUUAUCGAAAAAUUAAACACUCCUGAAGUUGGAUCUUUGCAGCUGACAUCGGGGUAUCGAAACUUUGAAAGAUUUCGCGACUUCGAAUGAUUCCAUGUGAUUUGAAGUGAGUUAACGUAGUAACUUCACAAGACUUGAGAUGACUUCGCGCGACUUGUCGAGACUUUGCGAGAUUUCGAUUAAUUUCAAGCGCCUUUAUAACUUCGAGUGAUUUUACGUAAGUUCGUGGCUUAAAGUCAUUGAACUGGAUUGUUCUUUUUUCUCUCAUUGCCUGCACCUGACUUCGGGCAUUGUUACUCCGUUGCUUCAUAUGAGAACGCGAUGGUACACAGAUCACAGAAUUGUGUUCAACAGAUCCAAUUGCAUCCCACCAACGUGUAGCGCGAAAUGAUUACGAACGUAUAACGAACAUGUGAUAUAAUUCAUCCAUAGCUGUAAAGGUCGUAGGAUGAGGAGUCGGUGCUCUCCAGUUAUACGUUGUUGAAUUAAUGCAUCCUCUAUUAUUGUAAAACUUUAUAUGAAUGAAAAGAAUUUAAUUGCUAUACGCGUCCGUUACGACAGUUGUUACAAUAUUACCAUAAUUAUAUGAUAUAUUUGCCGUACAUAUUUCUUUAAUGAGUAUAUAAAUUUACCUGGGAAAUUUGUCAUUGACAAACUAUAUGAAUAACUCGACACGGAAGUAGAGACAUUUACAAAUUAUACCCGUUAAUCUAUAUACAUAUGUAUAUCUAUGGCAUAAAAUAGAAAGUAAAAUAUUGAUUAAUGAUAUAUAUGUAUUUUUAAAAGAGGUAUAUGCUGUUCUGUCGUUCGGAGAUGUACAUUUAUUACUUACAUAUAUUAUAUAUACAUACAGUUAUAUAUUACACGAGUAUAUUCGGUUCAUAAGCGGACAUUAAGAUUUUUAUUUUUUUUUUUCAAAACACAAACCACACAUAUACCAUCAUUUGCAUUGAGACUUGGUUAGAACGAGUGAAGAAACAAUGUUUACCUGUACAUUUGUUGAACGAAGGUGUACAUUUUUACAACUGUACUCGUUUAUGUGUUCUGUUUUUUCGAAGUUGAGAAAUAAAAUUUCCACGCUCCGUAUCUUGACCGUACUUUAUUUCGAGUACAUCGCAAUUCCGACUGAAACACUAUCUUUGUAUCCCCCCCCCCCCCCCCCGAAAAUCACGUCCUCGGACUGCAACCGUUAAAUCGAUAUGUUUUGUUCAAAGUACAGGAGCAAGCGACACACGUUCUUUCAAUGUCCUCCAAUUGCACAAGAUUCGAUACACAGUUUUCAAAAGAAAUGGUAAAUGUCUAGUAAAUCCGAUCAGCAAUAUUAUUAGAAUAACGAAAUUUUUCAAAAGUUCUUUAGCUAGAUCAACUAAUCCAUCGUGAAUAUUUCAAUAGUUCGUGUAAGAAUGAUUACAAUUUGAAAAGAAAAAGUGAUAACCACAGUGAUUCGAAAGCUUGUGUAACCUAUAAUAAAUUGUAUUGAAUUGAUGAAAAAAAUAGUUUACACGCCUAUACGUUCUCUUAUUUACACGAUAACCUAACUUUGAAAGUUGAAGAUAUUCCGAGUAAAUUUGAAAUUUGAAAUACAUGUGAACACGAUUAAAUACGUCUAACAAAACCGAUUGAUCACUGAGUAUCGAACUUUAACUCCAAUUGAUACAACGGUAAUAAAAUAGGUACAUACAUUUUAAAACUAUAUUCGAACCAAAAGCAGGAGAUACGUACAUCAUAUUUAAAGGUAAAGUAACGAAUAACUACAAUUGAUUUUGUAAAUACUUAAAUAUAUAUAUGUACCUAGUUGAAUAGACGGAAGAGAAAUAGAAAAGUGAAAAACACCCUUAUCGAAGAAUUUCACAAUUAUACGUACAUACACAGUACACACAUCAUACACUGAAACACAAAAACACGUACACAAACAGUAGAGAUUCAUUGAAGAAUAAUGUUUCCUCAAACAAUUGAUUAAUAAUGUUGAACAAAGAUAUAUUGUAAAUAAUUUGAAAGAAAUUAAAAAAAAAAGAAGUAAGCAGUUAUUAAUAUGCAAUUAUAAGGUCACUAGAUGCGCACGCACCGAAUAACAAAUCAUGGCCACGAAGCUGAACAUUAUAUUAUAUACAACAAACGUGGGCAUAUAUAACGCAAUUAUGAAUACUUUUGAACGUAUUGCAUUGAAAGAAUUACAAUGUUAUGUACAUGCAAACUUUAGUAUGGUAAUAUGAAUUUCUGGGGUUUUAAUCAUAGGAUAAUAUAUCAGCAUAAUAUUAAUUGUUAAUAUAAAAUGAAAAAAAAAAAAAAAAAAUUAAAUAAAAAUAAAAAUAAAAAUGCCUUGUUUUGUAGCAUCUUUUAGCUUUAUACCUAUAAAUAUGUAUAGUUACCUUGGUCAUGUUUAGACUGAUUUUUUAUUACAUUAGAUUGUGAAACGGAAUCGAGACAUUUUCUAAUACUACACGAACCUUAUUCAUCGACACGAAAUUAUAACCCGUACAAUUAGACUUUCGUGGCUAAAAACCCGAUUUUUCAUAGAUUUAACGUUUUACGCGGGCUCGAGAUAAAAAGUAGGUUACUCAAGUCUCUUAAUUGUAAAUUAAUCCUCAUCGUUUUACGUAAUUCUUCUCGACUGGCUCGUUCUUAGAAAUCGAUUUGAGUGCAGAAGUACAUAUUUGCAACGAAUCUAAAACUGAAAUGACAUGAGUUUAUUGCUUAUAAUUGCACCUUACUUUUUUAAUAAAUACUGAACUGACAACGAGCCCCGCGUUAUUUAAUUCUCAAUUUUCCUAAUUCAUACUAAUUUUCCGCGAGCGAUGCAAAUGAGUAAUGAUAACGGCAUUGCCAGGGAAUCCGGCUAUUUGUCAUGUAAAUCGUUUGCAUUCUAUCGCAGCUCCUUGGAAUGAUAUUAUAGGUAUGAAAUAUUUUUAAUGUCACAAUUUAUUUCCCAACAACUCAACUAUCUAGCAUUAAAUUGUUACAUUGAUUUGUAACAUAUUCGUGAGCUAAUAUACACUGACGGAAACAGAGACAAAAAAAAAAAGAAAACACUUAGAAACUAGAAAAGGUAAAAGAAAGAAAACAAGCAACAAACAAUUAUGUACUUGAUA
rnacentral:lncRNA from 1 species